rnacentral:rRNA from 1 species
UGGGGAAUAUUGCACAAUGGGGGAAACCCUGAUGCAGCGACGCCGCGUGAGCGAAGAAGGUUUUCGAAUCGUAAAGCUCUGUCCUAUGGGAAGAUAAUGACGGUACCAUAGGAGGAAGCCCCGGCUAACUACGUGCCAGCAGCCGCGGUAAUACGUAGGGGGCAAGCGUUGUCCGGAAUCACUGGGCGUAAAGGGUUCGCAGGCGGAAAUGCAAGUUGGAUGUGAAAUAUUGUGGCUCAACCACAAACGUGCAUCCAAAACUGCAAAGCUUGAGUUAAGGAGAGGUAAGUGGAAUUCCUGGUGUAGCGGUGGAAUGCGUAGAUAUCAGGAGGAAUACCGGUGGCGAAGGCGACUUACUGGACUUAAACUGACGCUCAGGCACGAAAGCGUGGGGAGCAAACAGG